AAAAAUGAAAAAUGAGGAAGUUAUAGUAGACAGGAUACAAUGAAGGGAAAUUCAAGUGCUAAAAAAUCAAUAACAUUGAUAACAAUGCUUAAUCUGAUCCCUUUUUUAU